rnacentral:rRNA from 1 species
AACGUACGCUGGCGGCACGCCUAACACAUGCAAGUCGAACGAAGUAGCAAUACUUAGUGGCAGACGGGUGAGUAACAUGUAGGUAUCUGCCCUUUGGCCUGGAAUAACACGAGGAAACUUGUGCUAAUACCGGAUAAGUCUUUACGGAGAAAGCUUUAUGCACCAUUGGAUGAGCCUGCACUUGAUUAGUUUGUUGGUGGGGUAAUGGCCUACCAAGACUGUGAUCAAUAGCUGAUUUGAGAGGAUGAUCAGCCACAUUGGGACUGAGACACGGCCCAAACUCCUACGGGAGGCAGCAGUGGGGAAUCUUGCACAAUGGAGGAAACUCUGAUGCAGCGAUGCCGCGUGAGUGAAGAAGGCCCUUGGGUUGUAAAGCUCUUUCGUCGGGGAAGAAAAUGACUGUACCCGAAUAAGAAGGUCCGGCUAACUUCGUGCCAGCAGCCGCGGUAAUACGAAGGGACCUAGCGUAGUUCGGAAUUACUGGGCUUAAAGAGUUCGUAGGUGGUUGAAAAAGUUAGUGGUGAAAUCCCAGAGCUUAACUCUGGAACUGCCAUUAAAACUUUUCAGCUAGAGUAUGAUAGAGGAAAGCAGAAUUUCUAGUGUAGAGGUGAAAUUCGUAGAUAUUAGAAAGAAUACCAAUUGCGAAGGCAGCUUUCUGGAUCAUUACUGACACUGAGGAACGAAAGCAUGGGUAGCGAAGAGGAUUAGAUACCCUCGUAGUCCAUGCCGUAAACGAUGUGUGUUAGACGUUGGAAAUUUAUUUUCAGUGUCGCAGGGAAACCGAUAAACACACCGCCUGGGGAGUACGACCGCAAGGUUAAAACUCAAAUGAAUUGACGGGGACCCGCACAAGUAGUGGAGCAUGUGGUUUAAUUCGAAGAUACGCGCAGAACCUUACCAACACUUGACAUGUUCGUCGCGACUCUAAGAGAUUAGAGUUUUCGGUUCGGCCGGACGAAACACAGGUGCUGCAUGGCUGUCGUCAGCUCGUGUCGUGAGAUGUUGGGUUAAGUCCCGCAACGAGCGCAACCCUCACUUUUAGUUGCCAUCAUUAAGUUGGGCACUCUGAAAGAACUGCCAGUGAUAAGCUGGAGGAAGGUGGGGAUGACGUCAAGUCUUCAUGGCCCUUACGUGUUGGGCUACACACGUGCUACAAUGGUAUCUACAACAGGAAGCAAGACUGCGAAGUUAAGCAAAUCCCUAAAAGAUACCUCAGUUCGGAUUGCACUCUGCAACUCGAGUGCAUGAAGCUGGAAUUACUAGCAAUCGUGGAUCAGCGUGCCACGGUGAAUGCGUUCCCGGGUCU